AAUAUACAUGUGGCUCACGGGCCUGUGCCUGUCACCACCAAAGCCAGCCAGACCCCCUGGAUGGCUAGUUGGCUCCGCCCUGCUAUGUAGUCAUGUGACCUCACACCUGGCUGCUUCAGGAAACUGAUGCUUUUCUGCUGGCGUGUGGUCUUCAUCCAUGAAGGCUGAAAGAGGUCCGUUUAAAUAAAGAAACAGGAAACCAGCCACAAAACAGCAGAUGUCCUCCAAUCAAGGUUCGGCUGUGUCACAUGGGCGUUGUUAUUCAUCUGUAAUGGAGGAGCUAUUUCCCUUUGAAGGACUGUUUGUAAGAGGAAGGCAUUUACGCACUACAGGUUCAACAGAUCCCAGGUGAGGGAGAGGAUACAGUAAAACAAGACCCACCCGGUGUGGCGUCAUCGCUACGUAUGUGCGCGUUUCUACGUCAUUCGGGUACCAUCCGCAAGUAACAACACGCGCAGGUGCAGAACUAGGCGUCACGAUGCCGUUGCCUGCCAACCAGCAUCCACAGCAUGCAUUACCCACGUUCAAAUGAAGUAUCUAGACUUAAGCUAACACCCUCAUCUUCUCGAUGCCAUGAAAGUGUAUCGUAACACAUCCAGGUACUGAGACUCUUUGAUGGGACCCGCGAUAACUAACAAAGCAGGACUCGGCUACAAAUCAAUAAAUACGACGAACUGGUUUUCAUACAACCAGUUAAAUAACCAAGCAGUCUAUUGGGAAAAGACAGAAUGACGGCGGGGCGAGUUUGGAGCCAGAUCGCUUUCGGGAAACUUUAGAAGAUCAAGUUGGCUGCGAUGGAGGCGGCGAGAAACAUCCUACAUGCACCAAGACCUACACUGGGACUGGGAGCCGGCUCCACCGCAGUAUUGCUGGUUUGCGCUUACCUCGCGUCUUCCCAGGCGUUUUGCGUCGAUGCCCCGAAGCAGAUCGCCUCUUCAAAGUACUAAGCGACCCCGGGCUGAAGGUGUUCUUCAUCUAGCUAGCCGGAGAUCAACGCUGUGCCUGUCCGGCAACACCACUCCCCCACCCCUUAACAGCCUUUAAAGCGCUCCUUUCAAUCUGCCUGGACGAUAGCCAGGAGUGAGCGGUCACUUUACCACCAUAUAAUGAAUGUAUGAUUUAUUUUGCGAUAGUGUUCAAACACUCUUUAUACUGGGAAACUAAGCGUACCGACAUGCGCCACCCAGCAGUCGGGAUUGUCGGUGGGGUCGUUGUAAAUGUUUCGUACAAUAAAGAGCGCUUCACAUUUG